AAAGAACCAUGCACAAGUACCUCAAAUAUAGUCCAAAUGAAGUGAUUAUGGACUUUUUAGAAAGGUUACAUAACUUUCAUGUUUAAUACUUUCCCAUUUGAAGCCUGGAUCAUGAUGAAUUGUUUGGUGGAAAUUUUGAGAAAUCAAACAAUUGUAUUUUUUCUAAGUACCAAGUCAAAUGACCACCUCUUCCACCUUGAAUAACUUUUGCUAUGAACUACAAAUGGAAAUGGUUUCUUCAUCAAAGUUUUAUAUCUUUCAUCCCUAUUCAAUUUGGUCACAAAUUUGACUUCAUUUGGAUUUUGACCUCUUAACUAGGGCACAAACAAAAUGACCUAUAAUCUUUCACCAUUAAAAAUGAAUUUCCAAGCAAAACUAGCUCUUGAUGUCAACAGGAAAGUUGUUUGGAAUGUCAUAAGGAGCAACGUUUCUCUUGGAAUCAUUUUCAUAUGACAAAUACUAUAGGAGAUAGGGUCUAGGGAACCCCGGUUUUGACCAAUGGAUUUUCUCUGAUUAACCUCUUUGAACCAAGUUGCAAACUUGAAGUUCUUUUGAUCUUUUGGACUCAUGUAGGAUCAUAUAUGUAUAAUAUGAUGUAUUUUGAAGUAUACCUUGAUAUAUUGGACCAAUUGUUGAAUAAACUUAUUGAGGAAGUCACACAAGAUACCGAGAUGAAUUAGGGCUUCCAAUGUAAACUAGCUUCAAACUCUUGUUUAAUUAUUGAUCAAAAUGAUAAAUGAAGAACAUUGGGAUCCAUAUAUAAUGUCAAGAACCAUUUUGAAAUCUAUCUUGCAUUGAGGGUCUCCACCCCUAGUUAUAAGCUUGAUGAAGCAUUGGUGGAUGCAUAUAAUACCUACAAAAGAAACAAAGUUAUACAUAGACAUACUUUUGGUUUUUUGAUUAGUAAAUAAAUAAAAACAAAGUAUGAUACAAUGAAAUGUUCUUGGUGAUCUCUCCCAAUGCAAACCCAAUCAAUGAGGGGUAACGAGGAUGCCGAGGUGUGAUCCCAAAGCCAAUGCAAAUAUUGAGAUAGCAUGAGGGAUCUUAGGAUCAAAAUUGGGAUCUUACAUUAGGGUAAAUUUAGAGUAUGAUCGGUUCCAAUAAAUGUCUUCCUGUUAGAACUUGCAACAUUAUCGAACCACUAUUGAGAAGAAUCUCUAUGUUAAAGAAGGAGAGGAACACCCAAAUGGUGGGAGAGAGGGGCAUCUAGGUUAAAAAAUAUUAUAUGGAAAACCAUUAAAUUUCUCCAUACGUUAGAGUGAUUUAGGAAGGGGAGAUGUUAGUAAUCCCCAGUACGUCUGUCUCAAAAUAGGUAAAAGGGAACAAACCCCCCAACUCGUGGAUAAUAAGAAGCAGAAGACUCGCUCGCAAUGAGCAUAUUGGCUUUCUCCAUUUUUAAAAAGGGUUCUAGGGUCAUGUCCUUUUUGCGCAAUUUCAUGACUAACAUGAAACCAUCCUCUAUUUAAGACUCAUGUAAAGUUUGGAUAAAAAACAUUAUGACACUAUGAAAGAAAAUCAUUAAUAGAAGAACUAACAAGUCCUGAAUGAAUAAAAUACAAAGAUUAUAAGUGAAACAUAAUCUACUAAAGUACAAAUAUUAUGCUCUUACUAGACACAAGUAAACAUUUAAUUUUAAUCUCCAUAAAUUUUUUCCUAUGGUUAUUAUAAAAAUAAACAAUUAAUUAUAUCUCCUUAGUUUUUUCAAAGGUUAUUAUAUGUGUAUUGAUAUUUUAUUUGUUUGCAUCUUUUAAAUGUGAACAGGGCCAUCGUAACUAUUAAAAAGUAAGAGAAAUAUAAAUUGAAGAAUGAGAAAUAUCAGUAGCUUUACAAUAUUAUUAUAUAAAUAUAGAAGUAUAAAAUUUUAAGAAACUUUAAAUUAUUUUCAAUUUAAUUUUUAAAGAUACUUUGAGAGGUGAUAAGAUGGAUAAACGGUGCCAUGUAACAUUCUUUAUUCUCCUUAACCAACUUGUUUAGUAUGUGGAUAUGGAUAUUGUUUGUUAAAUUACCUUAAAAUUGAAUGUUCAAUGGAUCUAUUAAAUAAUACGCUUUCAAUUUUCUUUCAUCACGUGUCUCAUGCAAGACCCUAAUUAAAAGGUAAUGCAAAUGUCAAAAUUUUAUGUUAAAGUAUCAGAACAAUGAAUUAUGGAAUCUCGUCUAUCAUACUACAUAAUCUUUUUCAUUUCCGUUUAGUUAGAUUUGCAAAUAAGAGUGUUAGAUUACAUUAUUUUAUUUCCUCUAAAUAUUAUGUUGUAUGAUAUAAAAAGAGAAAAUAAGUUUUUUAUUAGGGUGCUUGAGGAGAUGUUGUAUCUCGCUCCAACUGAAUAGAUAAAACAUCAUUUGUUUGUGAAAAGCUUUUUUAUUCGCGUUGAGGAAGAAGUUAGAUUAAUGGGUUGAAAUCAUUUUUAGGUGGAAGAUAAUUAUUCGAAAGGAAGGAUAUACUCCUUUUAUAGAUAAAAGUAAAAAUAAAAAUAGAGAGGAAAUGGCUCGCUCGUAAUGAGCGUAUUGGCUCUCUGCAUUUAAAAACACGGUUCUAGGGUCACAUCCUCUUCGUGUAAUUUCUUGACUAACAUGUAUCCUCUAUUUAAGACUCCUAUAAAGUUUGAAUAAAAAACUUUAUGACACAGAGAAAGAAAAUUAUUAAUAUAAGAGGUAACAAGUCUUGAAUGGAUAAAAUACAAAGAUUAUAAGUGAAAUAAAAUCUACUAAAGUACGAAUAUUAUGCUCUUACUACACACAAGCAAACAUUUAAUAUUAAUCUCCAUAAAUUUUUCUUAUGGUUAUUAUAAAAAUUAACAAUUAAUUAUAUCUCCUUAGUUUUUUCAAAGGUUAUUAUAUGUGUAUUGAUAUUUUAUUUGUUUGCAUCUUUUAAAAGUGAACAAGGCCGCCGUAACUAUUAAAAAGUAAGAGAAAUAUAAAUUGAAGAAUGAGAAAGAUCAGUGGCUUUACAAUAUUAUUAUAUAAAUAUAGAAGUAUAAAAUAGUAAGAAACUUUAAAUUAUUUUCAAUUUAAUUUUUAAAGAUACUUUGAGAGGUGAUAGGAUGGAAAAGAAAAUAUGAUAUGCAUAAAUUGAAGGUCAUGAAUAUUUCUCUAAAAUUUAAAGGGAAGAAGAUACUAAAAAUAUUAUUAUUUGUUGUCCUAUUUCAUUUCAUUACAAUAAUACUAGUGUAUAAAUCCAGAACUAUUAGGUUGUUGUAAUAAAAUUUAAACAAAAACUCAAAUUAUUGAGGGUAAAAAUACAAUAUCCAAAUGACAUACGAUAACACAUAAAAUAUAUUAGGUGUUUGUGUCUUAUCUGGGGACUUUCAAUUAAAAACUAAAUUUGUAAACUCUUAAAGGAAUUUAUUUAUCUUCUCGGAUUAAGCAAUUCACGCACUAUUAUACAUUUACAAUUAGUGCGGUUCAUGCAUUUUCCUCUAUAAGGAGGUCGGCAAUAAAUUUUGUUUUCACAAUCUGAAUCAUCAAAACAUUUGAUUUUCUCUGCUGCAAUUAAAAAAACACUAUAAGGUUAUUAAAAUGAAAAAAAAAUACAAUGUAUGAAAUAAAAGAGAACAUUUAAAAUGAAUGAACAAAAGUUACCUUUAAUUUUCGUUCCAAUCAAAAACAGAGAGACUAACAUAAUCAUAACAUAAGCAAAUUUUACUAUUUGUACCAUAUUUCUCCUCGUUAUUUUUAUAAAUUAUUUUGUAACUUUGUAGUUUAUGAAUAAGAGUGGAUCCUCGCCUUUUAUAAUUUUUACUUGUGGACACUUAGUUGUAAAAUAAAUCUUAAAAUUAAAUUAAUUAGUAUAUAACUUUUCGAUACAUCAUUUUUUUGUCUUUGUCUCUUCAGCACAUCCAAAAAAGAUGUAAAAUAAAACAUGUCUAUCAUAAAAAUUUAUUCUUCUUAUAAUAAAAUUUUAAUCAUUUUAUAUUAUUUUACCUCGGAUGUGAAUGGGAGAUUACCUUAGUUAUAGAGAUGGGAUACCAAAGAGCGUCAUAAAAAACUAACAUCUUAUCGAUCGGUUUUGAAUAACCGAGGGGAAAGGUGAAAAAGUCAUUCAUUUGAUCCCCAGUGUAGGUCGGAUUUUUUUAAAAGUUAUAGAGAUGGGAUACCAAAGAGCGUCAUAAAAAACUAACAUCUUAUCGAUCGGUUUUGAAUAACCGAGGGGAAAGGUGAAAAAGUCAUUCAUUUGAUCCCCAGUGUAGGUCGGAUUUUUUUAAUAACUGAGGGGUAUAACCAAUGUUUUUUAAAAUUCCAUUUUAACUGACCUUGAUCAUUUUUUAUAUAGAUCCUACAAAUUAGGUGAGAGAAUCAUAUCAAUUGUAUUUUAUUUAGAAUAUAAAACAAAAUACCAAUUUUACAUUGUUUAUAAAAGCAAAUGUACAAUCCUUGCAAUACUUAUCGUGAUAUUUGGUAUACACAAAACCUAUGCCAAGAGAACCUAUACAUAUUUUCACCUAAAUUGACAAAACAUUUACACAAUGCUAGUGUAUAGAUAAAAAUCAAGAAAAACUAGUGUUUACUAGAUUCAUAAUGACAUAAGAAGACACUUGCACAACGUGAUCGGAUGUCAUCUAUAUCCUCUUGUGGAAAUGGUGUUUUAUUGCUAGACGCUUAUAAUUUGAACAAAAUUUAAAUUAUGAUAAGAUAACUACAACAAUAAUAAAUAACAAUUAUACAUAAAUUACAUGUAUAUGGAUAAAGUUAAUACCUUAUUCAAUGAAUUAAUAAUGCCAUUAGAGAAAAUAUUAGACAUAUGUAUCAUAGUAUUAUAUCGACAUAUAAAGUUCUGUGAAUACAUAAAUUACAUGUAUAUGGAUAAAGUUAAUACCUUAUUCAAUGAAUUAAUAAUGCCAUUAGAGAAAAUAUUAGACAUAUGUAUCAUAGUAUUAUAUCGACAUAUAAAGUUCUGUGAUUAUCUUCGCUGCUACAAAUAAUUUUCAUAUUGUUACUAAUUAAUACACACAAGACACAAGUAAUACAUUAGAGAAACUAAAAUAAUAUCAAAAAGCAUAAGUAAUACUUACACGUGGUUCUAUGAACUUUAGCUUUUUACCCUGUAUAUUACGUUUCACAAAAUUGUAUCCCUCCAAAUCAUUACAUGAUGGUAAAAAUCAAACAUGAAUAAAACUUUUCAAGACUAAAGGUAAAAUUUGAGUAUUCCAAAUAAUACCACUUACGCACUUAAAAUCUUUUGUAUAUCUUCAUCAAGAUGACAAUGUAACCAGCAUAACAUAACUAUAAUAUUUUUCUUCUGACAUAAAAUAAUUAAUUGCAAAUGUUUGCUACAUAAAAACAUAGAAUAAUUACCAAUGUGUGUAUAAAAUUGAUUUAUAAAUGAAAACACAAAUUAAAUCAUAUACUUAAUUAUGGAUAAAUUAUGACAUGUAAUAUUCUUUAUUCUCUUUAACCAACUUGUUUGUAUGCGUAUAUGGAUAUUGUUGGUUAAAUUACCUUAAAAUUGAAUGUUCAAUGAAUCUAUGAAAUAAUAUGCUUUCAAUUUUCUUUCGACACUUGUCUCAUGCAUGACCCUAAUUAAAAGGUAAUGCAAAUGUCAAAAUUUUAUGUUAAAGUAUGAGAACAAUGAAUUAUGGAAUCUCGUCUAUCAUACUAAAUAAUCUUUUUCAUUUCCAUUUAGUUAGAUUUGCAAAUAAGAGUGUUAGAUUACAUUAUUUUAUUUCCUCUGAAUACUAUGUUGUAUGAUAUAAACAGAGAAAAUUAUUGUUUUAUUAGGGUGCUUGAGUAGAGGUUGUAUCUCGCUCCAACUGAAUUGAUAAAACAUCAUUCGUUUGUGAAACGUUUUUUAGUCGCGCUGAGGAAGAAGUAAGAUUCAUGGGUUGAAAUUAUUUUUAGGUUGAAGAUGAUUAUUCGAAAGGAAAGAUAUACUCCUUUUAUAGAUAAAAGUAAAAAUAAAAUUAGAGAGGAAAUGACUCGCUCGUAAUGAGCGUAUUGGCUCUCUGCAUUUUAAAACAGGGUUCUAGGGUCACAUCCUCUUCAAGUAAUUUCUUGACUAACAUGUAUCCUCUAUUUAAGACUCAUAUAAAGUUUGAAUAAAAAACUUUAUGACACAGAGAAAGAAAAUUAUUAAUAGAAGAGGUAACAAGUCUUGAAUGGAUAAAAUACAAAGAUUAUUAGUGAAAUAAAAUCUACUAAAGUACGAAUAUUCUGCUCUUACUACACACAAGUAAACAUUUAAUAUUAAUCUCCAUAAAAAAUUUCUUAUGGUUAUUAUAAAAAUAAACAAUUAAUUAUAUCUCCAUAGUUUUUUCAAAGGUUAUUAUAUGUGUAUUGAUAUUUUAUUUGUUUGCAUCUUUUAAAGGUGAACAAGGCCACCGUAACUAUUAAAAAGUAAGAGAAAUAUAAAUUGAAGAAUGAGAAAGAUCAAUAGCUUUAUAAUAUUAUUAUAUAAAUAUAGAAGUAUAAAAUUGUAAGAAACUUUAAAUUAUUUUCAAUUUAAUUUUUAAAGAUACUUUGAGAGGUGAUAGGAUGGAAAAGAAAAUGUGAUAUGCAUAAAUUGAAGGUCAUGAAUAUUUCUCUAAAAUUUAAAGUGAAGAAGAUACUAAAAAUAUUAUUACUAUGUUGUCCUAUUUCAUUUCAUUACAAUAAUACUAGUGUGUAAAUCCACAACUAUAGGUUGUGAAAAUAAAAUUUAAACAAAAAAAAUUAUUGGGGUAAAAAUACAAUAUCCAAAUGACAUACGACAACACAUAAAAUAUAUUAGGUGUUUGCGUCUUCUCUAGGGACUUUCAAUUAAAAACUAAAUUUGUAAACUCUUAAAG
rnacentral:lncRNA from 1 species